rnacentral:rRNA from 1 species
GACGAACGCUGGCGACGUGCUUAACACAUGCAAGUCGAACGGAAAGGCCCUGCUUUUGUGGGGUGCUCGAGUGGCGAACGGGUGAGUAACACGUGAGUAACCUGCCCUUGACUUUGGGAUAACUUCAGGAAACUGGGGCUAAUACCGGAUAGGAGCUACUGCUGCAUGGUGGGGGUUGGAAAGUUUCGGCGGUUGGGGAUGGACUCGCGGCUUAUCAGCUUGUUGGUGGGGUAGUGGCUUACCAAGGCUUUGACGGGUAGCCGGCCUGAGAGGGUGACCGGCCACAUUGGGACUGAGAUACGGCCCAGACUCCUACGGGAGGCAGCAGUGGGGAAUAUUGCACAAUGGGCGGAAGCCUGAUGCAGCAACGCCGCGUGCGGGAUGACGGCCUUCGGGUUGUAAACCGCUUUCGCCUGUGACGAAGCGUGAGUGACGGUAAUGGGUAAAGAAGCACCGGCUAACUACGUG